GACGUAGGUGGCAAGCGUUACUCGGAAUUACUAGGCGUAAAGCGCGUGUAGGCGGGUGUCUAAGUCUAUUGUUAAAUCUUCGGGCCCAACCCGAAAAAGUCAAUAGAUACUGGAUGUCUUGAGUAAGGCAGAGGAAGCUGGAAUUCCCGGUGUAGCAGUGAAAUGCGUAGAUAUCGGGAGGAACACCAGUGGCGAAGGCGGGCUUCUGGGCCUUUACUGACGCUAAGACGCGAAAGCUAGGGGAGCAAACAGGAUUAGAUACCCUGGUAGUCCUAGCUGUAAACGAUGGAAACUAGGUGUGGGAGGUAUCGACCCCUUCUGUGCCGACGCUAACGCAUUAAGUUUCCCGCCUGGGGAGUACGGCCGCAAGGUUAAA
rnacentral:rRNA from 1 species